UCGGACAAGUGGGGGGCACUGGAUCAAUUUCUGGAGCCAGACAGACUUGCCAACAACAAUUUUCCUUUUCCCAAGGGGCCUCGGAGGCCUGGAGUGGGUCCCAGGUUCCUCCUCUCCAGCCUGCUCAAUGUGGGCUCCCUGACAGCGAGUUUGAAAGGGUUAUAGAGAGGCAGAUAAAGGCCGCGCUUGUUGCAGCCUUCCCUGACAGGGCCGACCCCCACGCCAGUGAGCUCAUGCCUGCCUCAUUAUGGCUGGUGCCAGAUUUUUUCCAUUAACAGGUAAUUGAGUAGAAACUAAAAUAAGCGAAGUUUGUUUCAUCCCUUGGAUUUUCUUGCUGGGAUUUGAAAGAAAAACACUUUAGCAUCGUUAGUGGAGGAGUGUCCUUGAAAACGUAUUUAUGUUUUCCAAGUGAUUUGUCGCUUGGUAGGUGUAAUUAGCCUGUCCCCGGCCUCUCCCUUCUUGUUUUUAUUCUUUAAGGGCCACAGUGUUCAGCGAAUAGGAGCUGGUUUCCUGGGCCCUUCGCUGUCAGACACCCUGUUUUAAGAGUGGAUAGGUUAGGUAUGCUCGCCGUAGAUAACUAGCUUUUCUCUGCUCGCUCUUUCGCUCAAGUGCACACGCACCUGGAGAAUCAGCAGGGGCCUGUGGGUCCCGCAGCCUCAGGUGCUACCUUUGAGGCCCUGCUCGCCUCUCCUGGAUGGUGCCUGCCUCCCUCCACCUUUGCACCAGGAGCAGAUGCUGAGGACUGACGGCGCCUGUCUCAGCUCUGGCUUGUGUUCCAUUUCAUGGAGAUUCCCCGUCACUGCCCAGCCUCAAAUUCCCCAUGAAGUCCGGAGCUUCAGAUGAAUUUGUGAGAAAGAGGGAGAGAAGGAGGGAGAUGGGGCAGGCGUGGGGGCAUGGUCUCCACACUUGGGAGUUUUCAUUUCACCUGGAGCACCCGAGCAUCUUGUUUCCAUCGUGAACCCCACUGAGAUUCUGAAAAUAAAACAGUAGAGGAUACUUCCAAACUCAUUUUAUGGGGCCAGCAUCACCCUGAUACCAAAGUCAGAGAAUGAGACCGCAAGAAAACUGCAGUAAGAAGGCCCUUGCAGAUCCAGUCCCUCAAUCUUGGACUUGCCAGCCUCCAGAACC
rnacentral:lncRNA from 10 species